UACAGAGGGUGCGAGCGUUUGUUCGGAAUCACUGGGCGUAAAGCGCACGUAGGCGGCUUUUUAAGUCAGGGGUGAAAUCCUGGAGCUCAACUCCAGAACUGCCUUUGAUACUGAGAAGCUUGAGUCCGGGAGAGGUGAGUGGAACUGCGAGUGUAGAGGUGAAAUUCGUAGAUAUUCGCAAGAACACCAGUGGCGAAGGCGGCUCACUGGCCCGGUACUGACGCUGAGGUGCGAAAGCGUGGGGAGCAAACAGG
rnacentral:rRNA from 1 species